rnacentral:pre_miRNA from 1 species
GUAUUACCUGGAGUUCCCUUCAAACACUUUACAAAAGGACCAUUUGACGUUUUCUGUAAAGUGUUUGGGAAACUCUCGGUGUAAC